UAUAUAUAUAUAUAUAUAGAAAUAUAUAACACUGUUAAGUCAUCUUUGAUCUUCUAAAUCAAAGCAUAUGUUCUCUAUUUCUCCCUUUUGUUUUUAUUUGACUACACAAAUCCACCCCAAGGACUGGAAGUGGAAAAUAGGGAGACAAAAGGAGCAUAGAAUAGCAAAGUAACAAUGAUGGGUUUGGUUUACUUUUAUAUAUCAAAAUAAUUUUUUUUUUUUUAAUUUUGUGGAUCAAGACGUGGCAAUGCAAUAGGGCUCCCCAAACAAAAGAGACCUCCUUGCCUCCUUGCAACUCUUUGACAAAGGAACUAAGUAUUCCCCUUUGUUCCCUCUCAAUACUAGCAAUUCUUGCUUCUCAUUUGAUAUUAAAUUCUUUGAGAGGAUGAAUUUGUUAUUGUUGUCGUUGCUCCUUGUUGAUUGUGAUUUUUGAGUCAUGGGACAAAGUGAUGCUGCUGCUGCUGUUGUGGUGAUGGCUGUCAUGGGCUUGGGCUUCCAAUAGUACUCAUAAGCAUUAAGCGACGCUGCUGCUUUUGCUGUCACGGCAGCCGCUGCCCCUGUCGGCAUGGGGAUCAUCCGAGACACUGGCGGCCGCGGUGGGAGUGACUGUGUCACUGGGGUAAUUGGGUUCACUGCCUCCUCAACACCCUCUUCAAAUUUCACCAUUUCAUCGAACUUGUUAGGCCAUGUUGGGUUCCUAUUAACUAACGCCAUGGGCUUAUUCAUCAUAAGUGCUAACCUAUGCACAUUUAUCACCCCACCUGACAAUUUUGGUGCUUGCUCCAUCACAAACCUCACUUGUCCACUACCAGCACCGCUACCUACUCCUCCUCUCUCAUUCACUUCUUCCAACUCCUCUUCCUCUGUUUCUGUUUCAGUUCCCUCCUCCUCUUCAUCUUCUUCAUGCUCUUCAGAAUUCUCAAUUUCUACUUCAAACAGUUCCAUAUCUUUUUCUUCUUCACUCUUUGGUCCUUCUUCUUCAUUAGGACUAUUGAUAAAAGUGAGGACAAGGCGAUCGUCCUGGCGUUCAGCUCUGAAGUUGUUCUGUGAAGGAACAGAGACAGCUUCAAGAACUAAGCGGCCAUUAUCACGCCGAGGCCUCAUGUGCAGGGACGCUCCAUCACGCUUAGAUAGUGACGGAAGUGGCGGAGGGAAUGAUCUUUGUGGCAAUUUCUUGCUAGCUGCUGCAAGAUUGUACUUGGAUACGCGCCAAUCAUCCAUAUCCUCAUAUUUUUGGGCCAGCCUAUUCUCUUCUUGUUCUUCUUCUUUCUCUUUUCUCUCUAUUUCUUCUCUUUCUAACUCUCCUCUCUAAUUCUCUCUAAAUUUUCUCCCAAUUCUGUUUCUUUUCUCGACCAAGUCUCUUUUUAUUUCUUUCUAAUGUCUAAUUCUUUAUUUCUAAAAGCUGUUCAGAUCUGACACAUAACAUAAUCAUAAGUAUAUUUCUGGUUACAAGAUAGUGCUUGGGUAACUUCUCUAACAUCUCUAGAAAUCAAAGUGUCAAUUUUUUCGAAGGAAUGUUUCAAUUAGCAUCUUCAAUCCAAAAUUUACUUGCACAUGGCAUGCAUACUAAUCCUGUAGAUAUUAGAGCUUUGCUUCUUCAUUUUGUUUCCACCACACAUUACCAAUCUUUUUGUUUCAUCUUGGCAACUCCGGCUUUCUUCCGUCAACAGAUGAGUAUGAACUUUAUGCAUAGCUUCAUAUAUAUAUAUAGGCAACAUUUGCACUUGUUUUUUUCGAUUUGACUUUCUGAGUGCUUGGUUAUGGUUGCUUGAUGUGGCUUUCGAGGCCUAUGUCAUUCUUUGGGGAGUCAUCUCAGUGGGCAAUUUAUUACUGCUUAUUCCAUUUUACAUUUCUUUGAGAUGACUAAAAGUAAUGUUUUAGAUGUAUUUUAACUGCUGAUUUGAAUCCUGAGCGAUAGUGUUUUUGUGUUCCCUAAAUGUGCAUGCACGUCAGUUUGGGUGUAGAAAUAUUUUGGUGUAAAUAAGCAUGUUAAAUGACCUGAUAUGUUUGCAAAUUUUGAGUGGAAACAUGACAAAUUUUGGAUAGGCAGCCAUGCAAGCUUUCUGAAUGAGCAGGGCUGAGAAAAUCCAUUCAGUUGACUUUAAGUUUUGGAUCAUAUUACUACUGUUCCUCUUUUGGAACUUAAAUCUAUCUGUUUAGCACAGAGCAUACUUUUCUAUUAUCAUCACUUUUAGCUUUAACCACAUUCUGUUUUUUUGAACCAUGGUGGAAAUAGGCCUGGAGAAGGCUACAGUAAAUUGAAAAGGCCUUAAACUUGUUUAUGUUGUUCUGUUACCCAAUCAUUGAUUUUUAUUUUUUUUUAUUUUUAUGUUUUUGUUAUUGAGAUUUAAUGUUAAAAAUAUGAA
rnacentral:misc_RNA from 1 species